rnacentral:rRNA from 1 species
UGCUUCCUACGGGGGGCAGCAGUGGGGGAUAUUGCACAAUGGGGGAAACCCUGAUGCAGCGACGCCGCGUGGGUGAAGAAGCGCCUCGGCGCGUAAAGCCCUGUCAGCAGGGAAGAAAAUGACGGUACCUGAAGAAGAAGCCCCGGCUAACUACGUGCCAGCAGCCGCGGUAAUACGUAGGGGGCAAGCGUUAUCCGGAUUUAUUGGGUGUAAAGGGUGCGUAGACGGAGAAGCAAGUUAGUUGUGAAAUCCCUCGGCUUAACUGAGGAACUGCAACUAAAACUACCUCCCUUGAGUACUGGAGA